rnacentral:rRNA from 1 species
UACGUAAGGUGCGAGCGUUGUCCGGAAUUAUUGGGCGUAAAGGGCUCGUAGGCGGUUUGUCGCGUCGGGAGUGAAAUCCACUGGCUUAACUGGUGGCUUGCUUUCGAUACGGGCAGACUGGAGGUAUGCAGGGGAGAACGGAAUUCCUGGUGUAGCGGUGAAAUGCGCAGAUAUCAGGAGGAACACCGGUGGCGAAGGCGGUUCUCUGGGCAUGAUCUGACGCUGAGGAGCGAAAGUGUGGGGAGCGAACAGG